rnacentral:rRNA from 1 species
AGUUGUUGCUACAAGUCGGGGACCGCAAGGCCUGACACUUCCAGAUAAGCCCCGCGGCCUAUCAGCUAGUUGGCGGGGUAACGGCCCACCAAAGGCUAAGACGGGUAGCUGGUCUGAGAGGACGACCAGCCACACUGGAACUGAGACACGGUCCAGACACCUACGGGUGGCAGCAGUCGAGAAUUUUUCACAAUGGGGGAAACCCUGAUGGAGCGACGCCGCGUGGGGGAUGAAUGGCUUCGGCCCGUAAACCCCUGUCAUUUGCGAACAAACCUGGUGGUUGAACAGACUGCCAGCUGAUAGUAGCAGAAGAGGAAGGGACGGCUAACUCUGUGCCAGCAGCCGCGGUAAUACAGAGGUCCCAAGCGUUGUUCGGAUUCACUGGGCGUAAAGGGUGCGUAGGCGGUGGGGUAAGUUUGAGGUGAAAUCUCCGGGCUCAACCCGGACAAGCCUUGAAUACUAUCCUGCUAGAGGAUCGGAGG